AACGAUUUGGGCACUGUCUCAACGAGAGACUCGGUGAAAUUUUAGUACCUGUGAAGAUGCAGGUUACCCGCGACAGGACGGAAAGACCCCAUGGAGCUUUACUGUAGUUUGAUAUUGAGUGUCUGUACCGCAUGUACAGGAUAGGUAGGAGCCGUAGAAAUCGGAACGCUAGUUUCGAUGGAGGCGCUGGUGGGAUACUACCCCUGCGUUAUGGCCACUCUAACCCGCACCACUGAUCGUG
rnacentral:rRNA from 1 species